rnacentral:tRNA from 3 species
GGUGAGGUGUCCGAGUGGCUUAAGGAGCACGCCUGGAAAGUGUGUAUACGGCAACGUAUCGGGGGUUCGAAUCCCCCCCUCACCGCCA